GAAAACCGUAUUAAAAUCAUAUUUUAGGGGAUUAGGGCAACUACUCAUGAAAUCCUGCUGGCUGCCUCUAAUCUCCAUCUCCAUUUCAGAUCGCGACAUUCUCCUAAUCUCCUCCCUUCCUCGCCUUCUCUCCGUGCUUGUGUGCUUCUUCGACGCUUCGAUGCUCCUCCUCCAAUCUUCAUUCUCCAAUCUCAGCAUUCACCACGGAAUCAAGUGUAGAAUCUCGUAAUAUACACAUCAAAGAACUGUGAAUUGAAGAUGAAACCUUAAGGAGCAAGGCAUGCAAUCAAACUAGCUAGAAUAAGUGUAGAAAUUAGACUAAAGGACAUGAGGAAGAAGCAAUAAAUAGUGCUCAAACAAGCAAUAUGUGUGAGCAACAUUUUGCGUUUGCUUUGUACUUCUUUGUAAUUUUGUAGCAUUAUCCAAUUUUAGUCAAAUGCUUUAUUUGAAAUUGUUCAAAACUACAAUAAUUUAUUAUUAAGUUUAGUUUAGUCCAUUGGUCAAAGUUUGACCUUUCAAUCACGAAUAAGAUCAAAUUUUACUACACCUAACAUAGAUUACAUUCCCUUAUCUUCUCCUUUAAUAUUUUACUACAAUAAUAUAACAUAAAAAGUAUUUAAACAACAAGAAAUAAAUAAGUUAAAAAAUUGCAAGUAUAAAUACAAAGUUCAAUGCUUAUAUUAAAACUAAUCAACACCUUAAUCAAAACUCAAAUGAUCACCACAUCUAAUACCCAAUUAUUUUUUAUCUUCACUAUAUUGAAUGUCCUACAAAAAUAUAAAACAAUAAAUCAUCCACACAAAUAGCAUUGCAUGAGAUUAGAGGAUUUGCAUGCUACAUAUUCUGUUGAUUAUACGAUAAUAGUAGAAAGAAUUCAAAGGACUUAUAAAAUAUACAUACAUC